AAUAUAUAUUUUAAAAUGCACGGAAGACACAGAGAAGAAAACAAGGCUACCCAAAUCUGACGGCCU
rnacentral:lncRNA from 1 species